rnacentral:rRNA from 1 species
UGCGAACGUUUGCGGCGGGCCUAACACAUGCAAGUCGAACGCACUAGCAAUAGUGAGUGGCGCACGGGUGCGUAACACGUGGGUAAUCAACCCUUCAGCCUGGGAUAACGACUCGAAAGGGUCGCUAAUACCGGAUACGGCGCGAGAGGCUUCGGCUUCUCACGAGAAAGCCACGCAAGGGGCACUGAAGGACGAGCCUGCGGCCCAUCAGCUAGUUGGUGAGGUAAGAGCUCACCAAGGCUAAGACGGGUAGCUGGUCUGAGAGGAUGAUCAGCCACACUGGAACUGAGACACGGUCCAGACUCCUACGGGAGGCAGCAGUGGGGAAUAUUGCGCAAUGGGCGAAAGCCUGACCCAGCCACGCCGCGUGAGUGAUGAAGGCCCUCGGGUCGUAAAGCUCUGUGGAGAGGGACGAAAACCCUGGUUUCAAAUAGGCUCCAGGCUUGACGGUACCUCUUUAGCAAGCACCGGCUAACUCUGUGCCAGCAG